GACGAACGCUGGCGGCGUGCCCAAUACAUGCAAGUCGAGCGAAGCGGCGGAUGGGUGAGUAACGCGUGGGUAACCUGCCCUUAAGCUUGGGAUACCAUUUGGUAACAGAUGCUAAUACCGGAUACUAAAGGAUGGACCUGCGAUGCAUUAGCUAGUUGGUAAGGUAACGGCUUACCAAGGCGAUGAUGCAUAGCAGGGUUGAGGGAAUGAUCGGCCACAUUGGGACUGAGACACGGCCCAAACUCCUACGGGAGGCAGCAGUAGGGAAUAUUCCACAAUGGACGAAAGUCUGAUGGAGCAACGCCGCGUGUGUGAAGAAGGUUUUCGGAUCGUAAAGCUCUGUUGUUGGUGAAGCGGUAAUCAACCAGAAAGUCACGGCUAACUACGUGCCAGCCGCCGCGGUAAUUC
rnacentral:rRNA from 1 species